rnacentral:tRNA from 1 species
UUAGAUAAAACCAAACUAGAGGUAUGUUACUGUUAAUAACAAAAUUGAACUUUUAUUCUAUCUAAA